UGCUGCUCACCUCCAGUCAAAUCCACUAGAGAGGAAGGAGACCCAUGCUGGACCUGUGCGAAACCAUCCCACUGCCUUUUAUACCAAAGUCAACAGGAAAGGAAAACAGUCACAAGAAUGAGCCACCAAGCUGCAGAUAUGAUCAUGAUGCCAACCUGACUUCCCUCGGCAGAUGACCUCACCAAUGUGUCCUGGAAACCCACCUCUCCAGAGCCAUGCCCCAGUUGGGAAAGACAGAAACCGGCUGGGAUGGGGCCACCAGGUUCCAGAUGAUACCAUGAUGCCAGCCUGACUUCCCUGGGAAGAUGACCCCACCAUGUGUCCUGGAAUCCCACCUCCCCAGAUUCCUGCCCCACUAGGGAAAGAGAGAGACAGGGUGGGAGUAUCGACCUGCCAACCCCCAUGUUCAGCAGGGAAGCAAUUACAGAAGCCAUACUUCCCACCUUCUGCACCCUAUAAAGACCCUGUGUCUAUAUUCCCAGAGGGAUAAAGAAUAAGAAAGCUAUCAAAGGUGGGGAUUGGAUACGGAGUUCUGGUGUUGGGGAAUUGUGUGGA